UCAUUGUAAAUAAGAAUUUGUUCUUAACUAACUUGUCCAGUUAAAUCAAAUAAAUCUAAAGUUUCAGAGCCUACACCGGAAGUAGGCAGUUAGUAUUUGUUCAUUUGAAUGACAAGACAGCAGCCAUGGAGACUCGGCGAUUGACUUCCUACAAAGGGUGUGUUCGUAAAUUCACUCUGGCUAUCAACUCCAAUUUCAGUGCACUCUCGUCUAAGUGUGCCAGAUUGCAGAAUAAUUUAGGAAUUCCUACAAAGUUCCAACCUUGCCCUAGACACACUCAGUGGGAGUGAUGAGAGCAUCUGGUUUGAGGAUGUUCUUAAUGAUCCAGCUCAAUGUGAAUUGAUGGGAGAGCCACAUCUCAGGAUGGAGUACAAGUUGGGACUGAUGUAAGAGUCUCCCAACUAGUGUUACGUUUGUCUGUGGUUUUAUUUCUGUAUUUUUAAUAGUUUUUCUUACAUGCCAGAUACAAUUGCAGUGUGAAAUAUGAAUGUAUGAGGAUGGACAACAUGUUGUUUAAUGUAGUUUUUAUUAUUGGUUUGUGUUACGAAGCAGCACACAGGCGUUUUUAAUAGAAAAUAAGCAACUCACAAGAGUCGUACCUUCCUAUACUGCAGUCCACAGAGAACAUUACUCAUGUUUAUAUAGUCAAUUCAUUUGAGUUCAUCUGUUGUAGCAAACUCCAUUUGACAUUAUCUUAACUAUUAGGACAACACUGCUUCAACUUAGUAGGGAAGGUAACUAGGACAGUUUAAAGAAAACACUCAGUGGUAGCAUUUAUUUGAUUUACAGCAGUACCAGAGUAUUCUGCUUCAUCUUUGCACAUACAGUAUAUAACAUAUGUCUGCACUAAAUGUUUUGGUUGCUUAUGAGCAUUUACUGAUAUAAAAUGGUUGAUAAAAUACAGGUACAAUAGAUGUCUUUGUAUAGGGUAAUGACUAAAGGAGGAAAAUAGUUAUUAAAAAGCUUUCAGUACAAUCUUAAAUGUUUACAUUGAAUGAAAGUCAAAAAAUGUCUAUAUGAAUAAAACACUUUUUUCCUAACAAUGUGCAGAAUAAACAGUAAAACUUAAA